rnacentral:rRNA from 1 species
UCUCCGGUUGCUUUGAGGGACCUGACUGCUAUCGGAUUGGUACUAAGCCAUGUGAGUCAUUGUAGCAAUACAAGGCGGACGGCUCAGUAACACGUAGUCAACCUAACUCGUGGACGUGGAUAACCUCGGGAAACUGAGAAUAAACCGCGAUAGAUCAUUAUGCCUGGAAUGGCUUAUGGUUCAAACAAUUUAUUGCCGUAGGAUGGGACUGCGGCCUAUCAGCUUGUUGGUGAGGUAAUGGCCCACCAAGGCUAUAACAGGUACGGGCUCUGAGAGGAGAAGCCCGGAGAUGGGUACUGAGACACGGACCCAGGCCCUAUGGGGCGCAGCAGGCGAGAAACCUUAGCAAUGUGCGAAAGCACGACUGGGUCAGUCCGAGUGAUUUCUGUUGAAGAAAUCUUUUGUCAGUCGUAAAACCACAGACGAAUAAGGGGUGGGCAAGUCUGGUGUCAGCCGCCGCGGUAAUACCAGCACCUCGAGUGGUCAGGAGGUUUAUUGGGCCUAAAGCAUCCGUAGCCGGCUACGCAAGUCUCCGGUUAAAUCCAGCUGCUCAACAGAUGGGCUGCCGGAGAUACUACAUAGCUAGGGAGCGGGAGAGGUAGACGGUAUUCUGUGGGUAGGGGUAAAAUCCACUGAUCCAUAGAGGACCACCAGUGGCGAAGGCGGUCUACCAGAACGCGUUCGACGGUGAGGGAUGAAAGCUGGGGGAGCAAACCGGAUUAGAUACCCGGGUAGUCCCAGCUGUAAACGAUGCAAACUCGGUGAUGCAUUGGCUUAUGGCCAAUGCAGUGCCGCAGGGAAGCCGUUAAGUUUGCCGCCUGGGAAGUACGGACGCAAGUCUGAAACUUAAAGGAAUUGGCGGGGGAGCA